AACGAACGCUGGCGGCAUGCCUAACACAUGCAAGUCGAACGAGAUCCUUCGGGGUCUAGUGGCGCACGGGUGCGUAACGCGUGGGAAUCUGCCCUUAGGUUCGGAAUAACAGUUAGAAAUGACUGCUAAUACCGGAUGAUGACGUUAAGUCCAAAGAUUUAUCGCCUGAGGAUGAGCCCGCGUAGGAUUAGCUAGUUGGUGUGGUAAAGGCGCACCAAGGCGACGAUCCUUAGCUGGUCUGAGAGGAUGAUCAGCCACACUGGGACUGAGACACGGCCCAGAAUCCUACGGGAGGCAGCAGUGGGGAAUAUUGGAAAAUGGGCGCAAGCCUGAUCCAGCAAUGCCGCGUGAGUGAUGAAGGCCUUAGGGUUGUAAAGCUCUUUUACCCGGGAUGAUAAUGACAGUACCGGGAGAAUAAGCCCCGGCUAACUCCGUG
rnacentral:rRNA from 1 species